GAUGAACGCUGGCGGCGUGCCUAAUACAUGCAAGUCGAGCGAACGGACGAGAAGCUUGCUUUUCUGAUGUUAGCGGCGGACGGGUGAGUAACACGUGGAUAACCUACCUAUAAGACUGGGAUAACUUCGGGAAACCGGAGCUAAUACCGGAUAAUAUUUUGAACCGCAUGGUUCAAAAGUGAAAGACGGUCUUGCUGUCACUUAUAGAUGGAUCCGCGCUGCAUUAGCUAGUUGGUAAGGUAACGGCUUACCAAGGCAACGAUGCAUAGCCGACCUGAGAGGGUGAUCGUCCACACUGGAACUGAGACACGGUCCUGACGCCUAAGGGAGGCAGCAGUAGGGAAUCUUCCGCAAUGGGCGAAAGCCUGACGGAGCAACGCCGCGUGAGUGAUGAAGGUCUUCGGAUCGUAAAACUCUGUUAUUAGGGAAGAACAUAUGUGUAAGUAACUGUGCACAUCGUGACGGUACCUAAUCAGAAAGCCACGGCUAACUACGUG
rnacentral:rRNA from 1 species